ACGGAAGGCAGCAGUGGGGAAUAUUGCACAAUGGGGGAAACCCUGAUGCAGCGACGCCGCGUGAAGGAAGAAGUAUCUCGGUAUGUAAACUUCUAUCAGCAGGGAAGAAAAUGACGGUACCUGACUAAGAAGCUCCGGCUAAAUACGUGCCAGCAGCCGCGGUAAUACGUAUGGAGCAAGCGUUAUCCGGAUUUACUGGGUGUAAAGGGAGCGUAGACGGCGUGGCAAGUCUGAUGUGAAAGCUAUGGGCUCAACCCAUAAACUGCAUUGGAAACUGUCAUGCUAGAGUGUCGGAGAGGUAAGCGGAAUUCCUAGUGUAGCGGUGAAAUGCGUAGAUAUUAGGAGGAACACCAGUGGCGAAGGCGGCUUACUGGACGAUAACUGACGUUGAGGCUCGAAAGCGUGGGGAGCAAACAGGAUUAGAUACCCUGGUA
rnacentral:rRNA from 1 species